CAACUUUUAACAACGGAUCUCUUGGCUCUCGCAUCGAUGAAGAACGCAGCGAAAUGCGAUACGUAAUGUGAAUUGCAGAAUUCAGUGAAUCAUCGAAUCUUUGAACGCACCUUGCGCUCCUUGGUAUUCCGAGGAGCACGCCUGUUCGAGUGUUAUG
rnacentral:rRNA from 1 species